rnacentral:rRNA from 1 species
CCCUUAGAUGUUCUGGGCCGCACGCGCGCUACACUGAUGCAUUCAACGAGCCUAUCCUUGACCGACAGGUCCGGGUAAUCUUUGAAUCUGCAUCGUGACGGGGAUAGAUUAUUGCAAUUAUUAAUCUUCAACGAGGAAUUCCUAGUAAGUGCAAGUCAUCAGCUUGCGCUGAUUAUGUCCCUGCCCUUUGUACACACCGCCCGUCGCUACUACCGAUUGAAUGGUUUAGUGAGAUCUCUGGAUUGACGCUGGCUAGGGGGCGACCCUUGGCCAGGCUGUCGAGAAACUGCUCAAACUUGAUCAUUUAGAGGAAGUAAAAGUCGUAACA